rnacentral:rRNA from 1 species
AACGAACGCUGGCGGCAUGCCUAACACAUGCAAGUCGAGCGAGACCUUCGGGUCUAGUGGCGCACGGGUGCGUAACGCGUGGGAACCUGCCCUUAGGUUCGGAAUAACUCCCCGAAAGGGGUGCUAAUACCGGAUAAUGUCUUCGGACCAAAGAUUUAUCGCCUUUGGAUGGGCCCGCGUUGGAUUAGCUAGUUGGUAGGGUAAAAGCCUACCAAGGCGACGAUCCAUAGCUGGUCUGAGAGGAUGAUCAGCCACACUGGGACUGAGACACGGCCCAGACUCCUACGGGAGGCAGCAGUGGGGAAUAUUGGACAAUGGGCGAAAGCCUGAUCCAGCAAUGCCGCGUGAGUGAUGAAGGCCUUAGGGUUGUAAAGCUCUUUUGCCCGGGAUGAUAAUGACAGUACCGGGAGAAUAAGCUCCGGCUAACUCCGUG